UACGAAGGACCCGAGCGUUAUCCGGAUUUAUUGGGUUUAAAGGGUGCGUAGGCGGAUUAGUAAGUCAGUGGUGAAAGCCCAUCGCUUAACGGUGGAACUGCCAUUGAUACUGCUAGUCUUGAGUAUGGUUGAGGUGGGCGGAAUGUGUCAUGUAGCGGUGAAAUGCUUAGAUAUGACCCAGAACACCAAUUGCGAAGGCAGCUCGCUAAACCAUAACUGACGCUGAGGUGCGAAAAGCGUGGGGAGCAAACAGGG
rnacentral:rRNA from 1 species